GGGCAGUUAGUUUAGUGGUAAAAUGCUGCAUUCACAUUGCAGAGAGCGUAGGUCCGAUCCCUACACUGCCCA
rnacentral:tRNA from 1 species